UACGUAGGGUGCGAGCGUUAAUCGGAAUUACUGGGCGUAAAGCGUGCGCAGGCGGCUUGCCAAGUCAGAUGUGAAAGCCCCGGGCUCAACCCGGGAACUGCGUUUGAAACUGGCAGGCUAGAGUUUGGCAGAGGGGGGUGGAAUUCCACGUGUAGCAGUGAAAUGCGUAGAGAUGUGGAGGAACACCGAUGGCGAAGGCAGCCCCCUGGGCCAACACUGACGCUCAUGCACGAAAGCGUGGGGAGCAAACAGG
rnacentral:rRNA from 1 species